UGAGGAAUAUUGGGCAAUGCCCGCAAGGGUGACCCAGCAACGCCGCGUGGAGGAUGAAUGCCCUAAGAUUGUAAACUCCUGUUAGAGGGGAAGAAUAGUACCGGUUGGACCGGUAUAUGACUGUACCCUCAGAGAAAGCCCCGGCUAACUACGUGCCAGCAGCCGCGGUAAUACGUGGGGGGCAAGCGUUGUCCGGAUUUACUGGGUGUAAAGGGCGCGCAGGCGGGAUAAAAAGUCAGUGGUGAAAUCCUACAGCUUAACUGUAGAACUGCCUUUGAUACUUUUAUUCUUGAGUUCGGGAGAGAGAGACGGAAUCCCAGGUGUAGUGGUGAAAUACGUAGAUAUCUGGAAGAACACCAGUUGCGAAGGCGGUCUCUUGGUCCGACACUGACGCUGAGGCGCGAAAGCGUGGGGAGCAAACA
rnacentral:rRNA from 1 species